rnacentral:rRNA from 1 species
AUUGAACGCUGGCGGCAGGCCUAACACAUGCAAGUCGAGCGGGGUUUUCGGACCUAGCGGCGGACGGGUGAGUAAUGCGUAGGAAGCUGCCCGAUAGAGGGGGAUACCAGUUGGAAACGACUGUUAAUACCGCAUAAUGUCUACGGACCAAAGUGUGGGAUCUUCGGGCCACAUGCUAUCGGGUGCGCCUACGUGGGAUUAGCUAGUUGGUGAGGUAAUGGCUCACCAAGGCGACGAUCUCUAGCUGGUUGGCGAAGAUGAUCAGCCACACUGGACCUGAGACGCGGUCCAGUCUCCGACGGGAGGCAGCAGUGGGGAAUAUUGGACAAUGGGCGCAAGCCUGAUCCAGCCAUGCCGCGUGUGUGAAGAAGGCCUUCGGGUUGUAAAGCACUUUCAGCGAGGAGGAAGGGUGGUGUGUUAAUAGCACAUCAUUUUGACGUUACUCGCAGAAGAAGCACCGGCUAACUCUGUGCCAGCCGCCGCCGUAACAC